rnacentral:rRNA from 1 species
GGCGGCAGGCCUAACACAUGCAAGUCGAGCGGUAACAUUUCUAGCUUGCUAGAAGAUGACGAGCGGCGGACGGGUGAGUAACGCGUAGAAAUCUACCUAGUAGUGGGGGAUAGCCCAGAGAAAUUUGGAUUAAUACCGCAUACGCCCUACGGGGGAAAGCAGGGGAUCUUCGGACCUCGUGCUAUUAGAUGAGUCUGCGUCGGAUUAGCUUGUUGGUGAGGUAAUGGCUCACCAAGGCGACGAUCCGUAGCUGGUCUGAGAGGAUGACCAGCCACACUGGAACUGAGACACGGCCCAGACUCCUACGGGAGGCAGCAGUGGGGAAUAUUGCACAAUGGGCGCAAGCCUGAUGCAGCCAUGCCGCGUGUGUGAAGAAGGCCUUAGGGUUGUAAAGCACUUUCAGCAGUGAGGAAAGGGGUGUCGUUAAUAGCGCCAUCCUGUGACGUUAACUGCAGAAGAAGGACCGGCUAACUCCGUG